rnacentral:rRNA from 1 species
CAAGAGCGUAUAUUAAAGUUGUUGCAGUUAAAAAGCUCGUAGUUGGAUUUCUGGUACAAACGCGCCUGGCCCCGCUUACGUGAGUGCCGGUGCGCGUUUGCCAUCCUUCUAGAAAACGUCUCUACUCGGGCAACUGAGCCGGAUUCGCGAUCUAGGAUCUUUUACUUUAGAAAAAUUAGAGUGUUUAAAAGCAGGCUAUUGCCUUGAAUACAUUAGCAUGGAAUAAUAAUCUAGGACUUCGGUUCUAUUUUGUUGGUUUCUAGUACUGAAGUAAUGAUUGGAUAGGGAGUAUUGGGGGUUGGCUAGUAUUGACCGGCCAGAAGGUGAAAUCUUUGGAUUACGGUCAAGACUAACUUAUAGCGAAAG